ACAAAUGAGGCCAAAAGUAGUUCAUUCCAACCCAAAAAUACUAUAAGGCGUCUUUAAAGAAUUUAUGGUGUAAACAACAGUUACUUAAUUUAUUCGGUUUAUGAACAUUUCCAAAAGAAAAACGAGUCCAGCCAAAGUCAAGCCAAUAGCCCAAAGAGCGAAUGCAUAGUAAAAGAAUUCCAAAUCGAAUCACUCAUCAUCUUUGCGAAAAUGCCACACUCAAAGAUACGUCUCAUAUAGACAUUCAACAAGUUGAGGCAACAUACAUGAAGCUAGAAUUCAUUCCAAUGCGAGCUGUAUUAAGGACCGCAGGUAUGUCAUAUCG